GCUUACGGCCAUACCACCCUGAACACGCCCGAUCUCGUCUGAUCUCGGAAGUUAAGCAGGGUCGGGCCUGGUCAGUACUUGGAUGGGAGACCGCCUGGGAAUACCAGGUGCUGUAAGCU
rnacentral:rRNA from 1 species